AGGAAGGCAGCAGGCGCGCAAAUUACCCAAUCCCGAUACGGGGAGGUAGUGACAAUAAAUACUGAUACGGGGCUCUUUUGGGUCUCGUAAUUGGAAUGAGAACAAUUUAAAUCCCUUAACGAGGAACAAUUGGAGGGCAAGUCUGGUGCCAGCAGCCGCGGUAAUUCCAGCUCCAAUAGCGUAUAUUAAAGUUGUUGCAGUUAAAAAGCUCGUAGUUGAACCUUGGGCCUGGCUGGCCGGUCCGCCUCACCGCGUGCACUGGUCCGGCCGGGCCUUUCCUCCUGGGGAGCCGCAUGCCCUUCACUGGGUGUGCCGGGGAACCAGGACUUUUACUUUGAAAAAAUUAGAGUGUUCAAAGCAGGCCUAUGCUCGAAUACAUUAGCAUGGAAUAAUAGAAUAGGACGUGUGGUUCUAUUUUGUUGGUUUCUAGGACCGCCGUAAUGAUUAAUAGGGAUAGUCGGGGGCGUCAGUAUUCAGCUGUCAGAGGUGAAAUUCUUGGAUUUGCUGAAGACUAACUACUGCGAAAGCAUUCGCCAAGGAUGUUUUCAUUAAUCAGGGAACGAAAGUUAGGGGAUCGAAGACGAUCAGAUACCGUCGUAGUCUUAACCAUAAACUAUGCCGACUAGGGAUCGGACGGGCUUCUAUGAUGACCCGUUCGGCACCUUACGAGAAAUCAAAGUUUUUGGGUUCUGGGGGGAGUAUGGUCGCAAGGC
rnacentral:rRNA from 1 species